rnacentral:rRNA from 1 species
GAUGAACGCUGGCGGCGUGCCUAAUACAUGCAAGUCGAGCGAACAGACGAGGAGCUUGCUCCUCUGACGUUAGCGGCGGACGGGUGAGUAACACGUGGAUAACCUACCUAUAAGACUGGGAUAACUUCGGGAAACCGGAGCUAAUACCGGAUAAUAUAUUGAACCGCAUGGUUCAAUAGUGAAAGGCGGUUUUGCUGUCACUUAUAGAUGGAUCCGCGUCGCAUUAGCUAGUUGGUAAGGUAACGGCCUACCAAGGCAACGAUGCGUAGCCGACCUGAGAGGGUGAUCGGCCACACUGGAACUGAGACACGGUCCAGACUCCUACGGGAGGCAGCAGUAGGGAAUCUUCCGCAAUGGGCGAAAGCCUGACGGGGCAACGCGGCGUGAGUGAUGAAGGUCUUCGGAUCGUAAAACUCUGUUAUUAGGGAAGAACAAAUGUGUAAGUAACUAUGCACGUCUUGACGGUACCUAAUCAGAAAGCCACGGCUAACUACGUG